UACGAAGGGGGCUAGCGUUGUUCGGAAUUACUGGGCGUAAAGCGCACGUAGGCGGACUAUUAAGUCAGGGGUGAAAGCCUGCAGCUUAACUGCAGAACUGCCAUUGAUACUGAUGAGCUUGAAUAUACUUGAGGUGGGCGGAAUGUGUCAUGUAGCGGUGAAAUGCUUAGAUAUGACACAGAACACCGAUUGCGAAGGCAGCUCGCUAAAGUAUGAUUGACGCUGAGGCACGAAAGCGUGGGGAGCAAACAGG
rnacentral:rRNA from 1 species